UAGUCGUAUACUUUAUAAUACCGUUCCUGGAGAGAACUAAAGGGAGAAAAUGGCCGCCUCAAAAACUGUAUUUUGCUUCACUUUAGUAUUUGUACUUUUACAGUGUAUAACAAUUGAUGGUGCGACUACAGUGCCACCUGCUGGAAGUAACGCACCUGCGGGAGCUCCAACGGGAGCACCUGCUGCGAAUUCCUCAAUGCCAAAAAAUCCUGCCGGAAUGACUCUUCCAGUAACGGUUCCAAUGUAAACAAGAUCACCUGCUGAAAAAUGUGUGACUAUGUGACUACGUAUCGUAGUUACGGUAACAAAGAUAUUAAGAUUUUUUUGCUUCAACAACAUGAACAUGUUUUAUCGCACGAAAGAAUACAGAAUCUAUAAAAAUUGUCUUGUGAAAUUUGAGCACUGUACGUAUAAUAAAAAUAAUAAAAUGAUUUGAAAUUGCAAAUA